rnacentral:rRNA from 1 species
GACGAACGCUGGCGGCGUGCUUAACACAUGCAAGUCGAACGGAAAGGCCCUGCUUGCAGGGUACUCGAGUGGCGAACGGGUGAGUAACACGUGGGUGAUCUGCCCUGCACUUCGGGAUAAGCCUGGGAAACUGGGUCUAAUACCGGAUAUGACCUUCCAUGUAGUGUGGGGGGUGGAAAGAUUUAUCGGUGUGGGAUGAGCCCGCGGCCUAUCAGCUUGUUGGUGGGGUAAUGGCCUACCAAGGCGUCGACGGGUAGCCGGCCUGAGAGGGUGGACGGCCACAUUGGGACUGAGAUACGGCCCAGACUCCUACGGGAGGCAGCAGUGGGGAAUAUUGCACAAUGGGCGGAAGCCUUAUGCAGCGACGCCGCGUGGGGGAUGACGGCCUUCGGGUUGUAAACCUCUUUCGACAGGGACGAAGCUUCGGUGACGGUACCUUUAUAAGAAGCACCGGCUAACUACGUG